rnacentral:rRNA from 1 species
AAUGAACGCUGGCGGCAGGCCUAACACAUGCAAGUCGAACGGAUCCUUCGGGAUUAGUGGCGGACGGGUGAGUAACGCGUGGGAACAUACCCUUUGGUACGGAAUAGCCUCGGGAAACUGGGAGUAAUACCGUAUGUGGUCGAGAGACGAAAGAUUUAUCGCCAAAGGAUUGGCCCGCGUUGGAUUAGGUAGUUGGUGGGGUAAUGGCCUACCAAGCCGACGAUCCAUAGCUGGUUUGAGAGGAUGAUCAGCCACACUGGGACUGAGACACGCCCCAGACUCCUACGGGAGGCAGCAGUGGGGAAUCUUAGACAAUGGGGGAAACCCUGAUCUAGCCAUGCCGCGUGAUCGAUGAAGGCCUUAGGGUUGUAAAGAUCUUUCAGGCGGGAAGAUAAUGACUGUACCACCAGAAGAAGCCCCGGCUAACUCCGUGCCAGCCGCCGCGGUAA